GGCCCCAUCGUCUAGCCCGGUUUAGGACACCUCCCUUUCACGGAGGUAACAGGGGUUCGAAUCCCCUUGGGGUCA
rnacentral:tRNA from 1 species